rnacentral:rRNA from 1 species
CCUACGGGUGGCAGCAGUGGGGAAUAUUGGACAAUGGGGGCAACCCUGAUCCAGCCAUGCCGCGUGUGUGAAGAAGGCCCUCGGGUUGUAAAGCACUUUCAGUGAGGAAGAACGCCUGGUGGUUAAUACCCAUCAGGAAAGACAUCACUCACAGAAGAAGCACCGGCUAACUCCGUGCCAGCAGCCGCGGUAAUACGGAGGGUGCGAGCGUUAAUCGGAAUUACUGGGCGUAAAGCGCGCGUAGGUGGCUUGAUAAGCCGGUUGUGAAAGCCCCGGGCACAACCUGGGAACGGCAUCCGGAACUGUCAAGCUAGAGUGCAGGAGAGGAAGGUAGAAUUCCCGGUGUAGCGGUGAAAUGCGUAGAGAUCGGGAGGAAUACCAGUGGCGAAGGCGGCCUUCUGGACUGACACUGACACUGAGGUGCGAAAGCGUGGGUAGCAAACAGGAUUAGAUACCCGAGUAGUC